UGUUGGUCAAGUGGAGUGACAUUUGUUGAAACUUAUAGUCAUAUAUCUGAAAGAUAUUAAUUCCUUACUUAAAAGGGUAAGGAGAAAAAUCCAACAAAGUCUUUAUCAAAAUGGUGUGAGUCAUUUUGCUUGGUGGUCAUUCAUUGUGCCAACCAUUAUUUCAAAUUUAUUCAAAAAUGGCUUCACUAACUGCAAAAAUAGUGCUUUUCUUAGGUUUAUGGUGUUGGUGAAACUUCUAUUGGUGGAGAAUAGGUUGAUGAUGGUGUUUAUUGUGGAUGAAUGGUGAAGGCAAAACAUGUCAAACUUGUAUAAAUCCUUACGGCGAAUCCGUGAUUUGUGUUUGUUACAAGUUAAUCAAAGUUGAUUUUAGCACAAUAGCUUGUUACAAGUUAGAUUUAGGAACUGUCUAUUGAGUUGUUUCAUACAACCCUACAAAAAUUUAAUAAAUAGAAUU